ensembl:lncRNA
UGGAGUUUUGAGGCAAAUCGAAGCGAGGGUCUUUCAGGCGAAGUGGCUAGACGUCCCAGCGGGGACAAUAGGUGUCAAGCGGCCGGCGGGGCGGGGCGGGGCGGGGCGGGGCGCCCCGGGGAAGGGCCGGCGGCCGGGGGUCCCUGGGGCGCGCGCGGGGCCGGGGCCAGAGGGCUGGCCUGUUAGGAGUCCUAAAGCUCCGGACUCGUGUGAAAACAGCCUUCAGCUACCUUGAGGUGACAUUUAUCCAAGAGGCCUGAGCGUUACGAAUUGGGCUUUCUUUUCCUUUUGUUUUAGAUUUACCUAAAGGUUUUAAGUGAAUGUUGAAUGAAAUACAAAACAGAAUAUUUUUUGCUCCGAGAGAAUUCUUCCCGCCUUGUCAUUAACCUAGGGGCGGGGUGGGUGUGGACAGUGAACAGAAAAUAAACCAAGCGCUGGACAGAAAUGUAUAAUCAGUGGAAAAUGCAGCGGAAUGUUGUGUGAAAGCAGUAAAUGACCGAUGUAUAAUUUGAACUCCAUAGAAAGGGGAUUUAGAAGAAGGGAUACCAAACCCACUGUUCCUGGGGAAUAAAGUGAGUGCUACUGAUCGGCAACAGUGUGUCCUGCGGAGCGGGAGGAGGCAGCCUCCGGCCGCCUCGUGUCCCCAUCAGCUGCCAAGUCCCUUAUCUAGUCGUUCAAGUAUUUCUUGAGGCUCUUACUAUGUGUUAGGAACUCUCUAGGGCCAGGGAUUGUGAACAAAUCAAAAACCUCUGUCUUCGUGGAGCUCACAUUCUAAAUGGGGCAAAGAUAAGAGACUACACGUCAGAUAGUGAAGUGGUGGAGAAGAAAACAGGAUGGUCAGGAAAAGCCUGACCUGAGCCAAGCCUGAAGGAAGUGAGGAAGGAAGGCCAAGCAGCUAUCUGGGAGGAAGAAUUUUCCAGGUGGAAGGAGCACCGAGCGCAAGGAUCUGAGAUGGGAGUGUGCUUGGCGGGUUCAAGGACCAGCAAGGAAGCCACAGUGGCGAGAGCAAAGGGUAGGGUGAGGUCCAGACAUGAAAGGGGGCCAGUCUUGUAAGGCCUCCGAGGCCAAUGGAAGAACUUUGGCUUCCGCUGAGUGAAAUGGGGAGUCACAGCACGCAUAGUUUAAAGCAGAGGAGGAGUAUGGUCAAUCUGCAUCUUAGAGAAAUCCUCUUGCUGCUCUAUAAGAAUUUACAGUAAGUGUGUAUUAGAGGUGAGGGGAAGGGUGGGGCAAGAGCAGAAGCCGCGAGCCCAGUUAGGAGGCUGUUGAAAUGUUCCAGCCCAGAGAUGGUGGUGGCCAAGGUCGGGGUGUUACCAUGAAGGGAGUGACAAGUGGUUGAGUGCUUCAUACACUGUGGUGGUAGAACCAAAAGGAUUUGCUUAUCAGUUGUGUGUUACGUGUGGGAGAGGUCAAAGCUGACCCAAGGUGGUUCUAGACGGAAGCCCCAGAGCUAUGCUGAGCACUGCACUGAACACCCGCUGAGCCGAGAGGCAGAGAGGAGGGCAUGCUCCUUUAGCUGCUUGCAGCUCUUAGUGCACUCAGCCUGCCCGCUGUCACUGUCGGAAUCUCAGGCGCCACGCUCUGCCCACUGCAUUUUAACAAGAUCCUCGGCUAAUUUGUAUACACGCUGAAGUUUGGGGGGAAAAAAAUCACUGCUUUAUGCCUUAGAACUUGACCAAUGUCUUUAAGAUCACACAUGAAAUACUCUACCAGACAAAUUUUCCGCAGACCUACAGCAUCAGAAGCCUCAGGGUGGAGUCCCGCACUCUGUUUUAACAUGUCCUCGGGGUGAGACUGAUGGGAGCUAAAGCGUGAGAACCAAUGACCUGGAGGCCCCUGAUGAUUCAGGUUUGAGCUGAAGAGGGCUUGUGGUAAGGCGUGAGGAGGAGAGGCCACUUCUGCGUUUCCUUGGCUCAUUGCACAGUAGUAGUUACCAAAGCAUGAAGACUCGUGUUCAGCUAAAUUAGGCUUUUCUUCAAGGAAAAAAGAAAGAUUGUUGAGAGGGAGCAGGAUAGAUGACAACACAGACAGCAGAUUCUCAGUUGGGGUCCAUCUCGCAGCCGUCUGUGUAUCCAGAUAGGCUGGGUUAUGCUGCAGUAACAGUCCCGAAAGCUCUGUGACUUCAAACAGGGAUCUGCAGACUACAGUCCUAGGGCCACGUGGCCCUCCCACUGUUUUUGUAAAUAAAGUUUUUUGGGACACAGCCACAUCCAUUCAUGUACAUAUUUUCUAUGGCCACUUUCCUGCCACAGCAGAGCAGAGUUGAGUAGUCGUGACAGAGACAGCAUGGUGUGCAAAACCUAAAAUACUAUCUCAUACUUUACAGAAGUAGUUUGCCAAUCCCUGGCUUAAAACAUCCAUCAUGGCUCAGCAGGAGGGCCCUACUCAGAGUAGUCAUUUGCUAGAUUCAGGCUGAUGGAGAAAGCAAGCUCAAGCGUUGAUGAUUAGCUUGCUGUAAGAAAAAAGAACUUGGGAGUAUCUCAAGUAGUAGUCAGUUAAAUACUCCAGACAGGUGGGUUUGCGUCACGUGCACCCACACCUCAUUGGCCAGACAGAGUCACAUGAUGCCAGGCAACCAAGAGAUGCUGUCCUAUCAGAUCCCUAGUAGGAAGCUAAGUGAACCAGAAACGUUUGGGGAACAUGCAUUGAAGCAUACAUAGCUGUGGUGCGCUCACUUCCUACAAUAUGUCAUCCCAUCCCAUUUCCGUGGUGUUGUGACUUUCUUGCAAUCGUUCAGGUCAGCACUUGCUCCAGGAAAACCAAUGAAUUUCAGGCAAAACAGUGUCUUUAGUCUGACUUCCUGCCCAGUCGAAUGCCAUGGUCCCAGCAAUCAAAAUUUGUCUAUUUCCUACCUGACAAAAGGGGACUGAAGCUAUAUUUAUGUGAAUUUUUAAUACUUUCCUGUCCUCUUUUUUUUUUUUUUACCUUUUUUUCUAAUCCAAAGCCAUGCAGUGGCUUGGGGUCAUUGUAUCACUGAAUAAAUAGGAAAAUUAAAGGUUUUUCCCAGAAAACCAGUGGGAGAGCAGAGUACAUCUAUAAAUGAAAAAUGCUUUCUCCAAAAACCUUGGUUUUAAGGUAUAGCCAAUAUUAAUAUGUUUUAAUAACAGCAAUCUCCCAAGACUUCUGACGUUCACUUGUUUAAUUCAUGAGACCACAGCACUCUGAAGUCUCCACAGGCGAGUGAAUGAAUAAUUGAACUACUUAUCCUGAUAAUUGUGGCAAAAUAGUUAAGCUGCUUCAACUUGAAUCACCCGAUAAACUAAUGUCAAGCAUGUUUCUAGCAAAAGAGGGGAACUUCCAUCUGAAUUACCUUAACUGCCUCUCUGCCAGGGUAACAGCGGGAAGCCCAGCCUAGCUGUGGACUUCACUGCUCACACAGCUAAGGCUCUUCUCUUCCGGUUGUUUUACUACAAGUCAGCAGCAGACAUUUGUAUCAUAAUUUUCCAUUACUGCCUUUUUAUGAUAAUUAAUCCCAUAAUUGUCUGUGUGUCCAUGAGCCAGCAUUAGACUCUGAGCUUUUAAAGGGAAGAAAUCAGUUGUUUGGAUUUCAUCUCUGUAUCCUCUGAAGUAGUAAUAUGCCUGGCACAAAUGUUUUGUCAAUAAAUAUUGCCUACUGUAUUAACCUAUCGGUCCAUGCUGCCCCUUUGCCCUGUUACAUUGUGGUCAUCAGCUGAAGUGGCAUUCUUUUCCACUUACGUUUUCUUAUGUCUGCCUUUUCUUAAUUGUAAUAUUACGCUUAGAAAUACAGCUUUAUAUUUUGUAGAGGUAGAAAAAGUCCAGAAUAGUUUUUCAGGUUUCACAAAUUACUGUUGUUUCUUAUUGAACACUCUUAGAAGCCAUGCACUGCUUUCAACAUAUAAGCAAACAUAACUUUGAGCACAGGCGUUAAAAUGCUCCAUAGUUACUUAUGUGAACUGUGCAUUCUCUUAACUUCGUGUUUCUAUUUCAGUGGUUCUCCACCUGUAGUGAUUUUGCACCACUGCCAGGACGUUUGGCAAUGUCUGGAGGUGUUCUUAAGUUGUCACAACUUGGCAGGGAGGUGCUCAGGCAUCUAGUGGGUGGAGGCCAAGGAUGCUUCCAAACAUCCUGCAAUGCACAGGACAGCACAGACUUAUCCAGGCCAAAACGCCAAUAAUGCUGAAGGUGGGAAACUGUGUUCUAUUUUAUGAGACCAAAAAGGUAUUCAUUUGAUUCAGCACCUUGCAAGUGACAGUAGUGAGAUGACACAGGCAAAAACACACACAAAAAAAGUGUCUUUAGAAAGAAAGUGUGGAAGGAUGUCACACUAAACUCUGCAUCUCGGCACUGAUACGCAUUCAUGGUCUUUUUCAGCCAAUAUAUACUAUAUAUAUUCAUUUCUCCCACGAAUACAUGCAACCCACUGUGAACAAUGGUCUUCUGAGAAAAAGAAUUUCCUUCAAAGUGACAACAGCUCCACAAGUUUUAGAAGGAAUAAAACUUUAUGUAUCUCAAAGUUACAUCCUGGGAGAAGCUAAGUACAGGGUAACCAGCUUAUUCAGGAUUGCUUCUACAGCUGGUCAGGUCUGUAUUAUUUCAGGAAUAACUUUCACACCUGACAGUGCCACUCCCCCACAUCAGGGGGUCACCCUUUAGGUGUUAAUAACAUUUAUCCUGAGAGUCUAAGAGCUUGGUUUAAAGAUCUCUUAAGCACUAACAAGCUCAAUUGAAGACGUGAAAAAUGCUACGGAAAGGUGUCGGUCCUGUCUUACUUAUUUUUUUUUUCUUGUAGAGAUUUCCAGUGAGUGUAGACUUUGCAGAAGGGAGAAGUGUGGAAGCCCCACCCCACCCUGUCUCAUCCUUUCUGGGGUGUUUCUCAGCGGGGCAAGGGCACCACCUUCAACAUCACCCGGGGCACUUGUGGAAUGAAGAUUCCCGGAUUCCACCCCAGACACUGCAUCUAUGUCCCAGGAUCUGAUACCUAGGAAUACUAUGUAUUUUAAAAAUCAAACUCCUUUUUGCACAUUCAAGUUUGUGAAUCUCUGCUCCACAGAAAGAGUCCACUUAUUUUCACAAAAAUAAGUACCAUAAAUGUUCAAACAAAAAUUCCUCUUUUCAUGGUAUUCUCUUAUCUCUCUCCCCAGGAAGUGCUGUGAGGAUGUCUUAAGUAGGGCGUGUUGACAAUUGCCAGAUAGAUGGAAAAGGACCGCAAACUCCAGUCGCUGAUCUAGGAAGGAGCAGUGGCAUUCCAAGAUGGGAGAGAAAAUGUUGAGAGAAAUUUGCUGAGGAAAGAAUCCAAGCAGAGUGGUGACUGGAAGGAGAGUAGCAGAGGAGAUGAUCGCAGAGGAUAUCGCACAGGGUAGUCACACUCCAUUAAGACGCUGCUUCCAGAGGAGACUUUUCUCUAGGCCCUUCUUGUCUAGACCGCGUGCCUCUGGCAGUCCUGUCCUGCUGCAAGACCCGUGUUCCUUGGCUUUCUUUGGAGUCAGAGCUGGAGAUGCUGCUUCUCCUGAAUGCGGUGCUAACAUCUACCUAAAGAAGAAAGAGGCCAGUUCUUUAGGACGGGGCAAGUUGGUUUGACGAGAGAAAGAGAAGAGGUGAUCAUGUGACAAGAAAUAGAUGGUGUUUGAAGCCAAGAAGUGAGAAUUAGUGAGAUCUAUUGAGAUUAAAGCAAAGAGAAGAGAACCUAGGACAACAGCAACAUUUGAAGGAAAGUCUUACACCAGACAACUUUGAUGGAGGAAGAAGUGCACGACCACGACCACAGCGAGAGGGUGGGCCCCUGGAACCCGGAACGUCCUGCUUACUCCCACGGAGCUGGGCUCAGACUGUACGCAGGGCUCCUUAGAGGUCAUGCAGAUCGGGGAAAAUGGGCAACACUCAUUAAGUGUUUCGUGCCUAGAGUACCUGCUGCUGGACUCCUUUCAUCCCUGUGGAGCAGGCCCCUUCACCAGCUUCAUCUUACAGGUGAAAACAUCAAGGCUCAGGGAAGUUAAGCAACUUUUCCGAGAGCACCCAUCUAGUAAGUCCUCGAGCCGGGAUUCAAACUCUUGUCUCUUCAACCCUAGAGCUCACGCUCGUAACUAAUGGCGCAUACAACCGUUUUUACUCCACAACGCACGUCCAAACCUAACCAACACGUGAGAAACGCAGCCUGAGUCUCAGAAGCAAGAGCAUCAACAAAGAAGCUGCCUAAACAAGUGAAACCAAGCCUGCAGAACUGCAAGGCCACAUGUCUAACAGACGUGAUAAUGACUGUACACCCUCUCUAUUCCUUUCUUCACAAAGGGCUGACCCACCCAUGUGAAAACCUGCCGGGGACCUCAGCCUUCAGCUCUAGGAUUUGUUUCAGCAUUCCCCUUUCUGCCUGGUUAGGUCCCCGGGCCCUUGCUGUCAUCUUCUGAGUACGUUUUUCCUCCUUCUGAUUCCAUUUCUUAACUCCAGAUUCGGGCCCUCCACACUUCUCACUGUACCCAUUUCAACAUGCCCUUUGGGCUCUAGCCAGCAUUCCCUCUUGGAAAUGAUCUUAACACGACCUUGUGGGGCCACAGGGGAGAGGCUUGGCUUGGCUCCCUGCCUGGGCCUCAGGCUCUGCCACACAAGGAGACGCCCACUCUCAGGACAGCGGAAGAGGACACACAUUCACAUUCGUAUAAAGCUCAUUGUUUACAGAACAUUUGAAAAAUAUCCUGUGGUGUUUUUAGGAGAAGACAGAGCAGGUACUAUUUUCUCCAUUUUUUUUUAAAUGUCACAAACAUUUCAAGCAUACAAGAGAAAUACACAUAUAGAGACAUCCAUGAACACUGCCCAGACUUGACACAUUUACAUUUAUUUUUCCUUAAAGAAAUAAAAUGUUACAGAUAUGAUUGAAUAUCUUCCCAUCCCAUUUCCCCCCUCCUUCCCCAGAGAACCCACGAUCCUUAAAUUGAUCUGAAUCAUGGCAUCCAGGUUUUUAAAUUGUCUGUAUCUAUCUAUCUCUCUACCUGGAAUCUGCAAUGGAUACUAUUGUUCUGUGUUCCUAAAACUUUGACACAAUAUCUUACUAUAUGUAUCCUUUUGCAACUUGCUUUUUUUUUUCAAUUAGUCUUUUUUUUAAUUGAUUGAUUUUUUUUUUUCAGAUUCAGAUUUGUGUUUGUUUGUUUUCCCUUUGGAAUCCUAGUUGGGUUUUUUUGGCAGUAGCAUUGGUUUAUAACAUUAUAUAAAUUUCGGGUGUCCAUCAUUAUAUUUCAGUUUCUGUGUAGAUUGCAUCAUGUUCACCACCCAAAGACUAAUUACCAUCCAUCACCACACACAGGUGCCUAAUCACCCCUUUCGCCCUCCUGCCUCCCCGCUUCCCCUCUGGUAACCACCAGUCCAAUCCCUGUCUCUGGGUGUUUGCCUGCUGUUGUUUGCAACUUGCUUUUUCAGUGUUUUGUUUCUAAGAUUUAUCUUUGUUGAAACAUGUAUCUAAGUUCAUUUAUUUCACCUACUAGAGUGUCUCUUUUUGCUGUAUGCGUAUACACAUACAUAUGUUACUUAUCUAGUUUCCUACUGAAAGAAAUUUACAUAACUUUCUUUUUUGCACCGUUUUGAAAGAUACUGCAAUGACCAGUGUUGCACACUGUUCUUGUAGACAUGUGCUGGACUUUUUCUAGUGCAAAUUCCUGGAAGUAGAAUUGCUAGGUCAUAGGAUAUGUGCAGAACUACAAUUUUAGAAGACACUGCCAAUUGCUCUCCCAAGAGGUUGUACCAAUUUGCAUUUCCAUCAUCUGAGUUUGAGAAUUCCCA